rnacentral:other from 1 species
AAAACCCUGCAAUGUGCGUGGAAGUCAGGGAGUUUUGAGCCAACACCAAUACAAGAGGAACCUGGGCUCUGGUUGUGGCUUGUAGGCCCUGCAGCAGGGAAACAAAAAGCAGCCAGGAGGGUACCACCGUGCGGAGCUGAGGUUCAGAAACGCCCGAUUCCACGGCAUUUGUGGGGUUUUU